UACGGAGGAUGCAAGCGUUAUCCGGAAUCAUUGGGCGUAAAGCGUCCGCAGGUGGUCCAUCGUGUCUGCUGUUAAAGACAGAAGCUCAACUUCUGAAAGGCAGUGGAAACUGGUGGACUAGAGUACGGUAGGGGUUGAGGGAAUUCCCAGUGUAGCGGUGAAAUGCGUAGAUAUUGGGAAGAACACCAGUGGCGAAGGCGCUCGACUGGGCCGUAACUGACACUCAGGGACGAAAGCUAGGGUAGCGAAAGGG
rnacentral:rRNA from 1 species